GUCUGGGACUUCCCUGCACACUGGUGAAUGCGUGCCACUGCUGGCAGCUGUGACUGUAUUUGAAAAGCGUAAUUCUGGUUCAUGUUCUCUUUACGACAGACUUUGUUUCCUUUUUUAUUCCUUUUUUUUUUAGUGAUAAGGUCUCACUCGGUCACCUAAGCUGAAGUGCAGUGGCACAAUCACAGCUCACUGCAGCCUCGAACUCCUGGGCUCCAUUGACUCUCCUGCCUCAGCCUCCCAAGUAGCUGGGACUGCAGGCAUGAGUCACAAUGCCCAGUUAAUUUUUUCAUUUUUUGUUGAGAUGGGGUCUCACUAUGUUGCCCAGGCUUGCCUUGAACUUCUGAGCUCAAGCAACCCUCCCAUGUCAGCCAAAGUGCUAGGAUUACAGGCAAGAGACAUCGCACCUGGCCAAAAUUAUCUUUUGAUAAGAAUGCUGACAUUCGCCUUGUUUUCUCCUGAUAUUGCAUCGCUGAGAUAAAGUCUGGGUCUCCAUCUUGUCUCUAUCCAUGAGACAACAACAUGUAUGCUGAGUCUGCUGAAGUGGGGCUUGGUACAUAGUCUGGGGUUGGCCUAAGCCCCCUUCCCUUUUUUCCUACUUUUUACCUUUGACCUUUUGUUUUCUUUGGACUAACAUAUUGUAGGUGCAUGCUCUGAGGCAAGCACUGUGCUAAGUAUUUCACAUGCAUUAGCUCAUUGGGUGCUCCCACUGCCUUCCAUGAGAGAAGCAGCCUUCUGAGGUCAGAGCGGGCCGAAGAUGUGCAGCCUGACUUCUCACCCAGGUCUUUCCAAAGUCUAGGGCAAAGCUCUAAGUACUUCCUGCCCCUUGCUCAGCAAUCGCCCUGCUUAUAGCAGAAGAGAAUAGAGUGUCUAGAAAGCAUCACACAAGUCUCUUCUCUGGAGAGAAUCUCACAAUGUGAGUCCUGGAAGAGAUUGCCAAGCCCCCAGAAGAGCACCACCCUCAUUACACAACUGGAAAGAGUGAAUGCCAAAUUGCCUAGCUCGAGGUCAGCCAACUCAUUAAUUGAAGACAGAAAGAUAAUGUGGAAAUCAAGCAAUGUUACCAUUUUGUGAUGGCUUCAGACAAAGAUUUUACAAGGAAGAUGUUGGAAACCGCGAGUGAAGUUUGGGACUGGGCAUUAUAUAUGAAUUGAGUUUUUCCCUGCAUUCGACAGGGUGGAACACUUGACAGGUGACUAUGGGAUCUGCCCCCACCCCCGGCUUCC
rnacentral:lncRNA from 1 species